GACGAACGCUGGCGGCGUGCUUAACACAUGCAAGUCGAACGGUGAUGCUCCAGCUUGCUGGGGUGGAUCAGUGGCGAACGGGUGAGUAACACGUGAGCAACCUGCCCCAGACUCUGGAAUAAGCGCUGGAAACGGCGUCUAAUACUGGAUACGAAACUGGCCCGCAUGGGCAUGGUUUGGAAAGUUUUUCGGUUUGGGAUGGGCUCGCGGCCUAUCAGCUUGUUGGUGAGGUAAUGGCUCACCAAGGCGACGACGGGUAGCCGGCCUGAGAGGGCGACCGGCCACACUGGGCCUGAGACACGGCCCAGACUCCUACGGGAGGCAGCAGUGGGGAAUAUUGCACAAUGGGCGAAAGCCUGAUGAAGCGACGCCGCGUGAGGGAUGACGGCCUUCGGGUUGUAAACCUCUUUCAGCAGGGAAGAAGCGAAAGUGACGGUACCUGCAGAAGAAGCACCGGCUAACUACGUG
rnacentral:rRNA from 1 species